rnacentral:rRNA from 1 species
AACGAACGCUGGCGGCAUGCCUAACACAUGCAAGUCGAACGAGACCUUCGGGUCUAGUGGCGCACGGGUGCGUAACGCGUGGGAAUCUGCCCUCUGGUACGGAAUAACUCAGGGAAACUUGAGCUAAUACCGUAUAAUGACUUCGGUCCAAAGAUUUAUCGCCUGAGGAUGAGCCCGCGUAGGAUUAGCUUGUUGGUGAGGUAAAAGCUCACCAAGGCGACGAUCCUUAGCUGGUCUGAGAGGAUGAUCAGCCACACUGGGACUGAGACACGGCCCAGACUCCUACGGGAGGCAGCAGUGGGGAAUAUUGGACAAUGGGCGAAAGCCUGAUCCAGCAAUGCCGCGUGAGUGAUGAAGGCCUUAGGGUUGUAAAGCUCUUUUACCCGGGAUGAUAAUGACAGUACCGGGAGAAUAAGCCCCGGCUAACUCCGUGCCAGCCGCCGCCGUAACAC